CACUCUAGAGGGACUGCCGGCGACAAGUCGGAGGAAGGUGGGGAUGACGUCAAAUCAUCAUGCCCCUUAUGACCUGGGCUACACACGUGCUACGAAUGGGCGGGUACAAAGGGCUGCGAACCCGCGAGGGGGGGCGAAAUCCCAAAAAGCCGCUCUCAGUUCGGAUUGCAGGCUGCAACUCGCCCGCAUGAAGCCGGAAUCGCUAGUAAUCGCGGAUCAGCAUGCCGCGUUGAAUACGUUCCCGGGCCUU
rnacentral:rRNA from 1 species